rnacentral:rRNA from 1 species
UACGUAGGGUGCAAGCGUUGUCCGGAUUCAUUGGGCGUAAAGAGCUCGUAGGCGGUCUGUCGCGUCGGAUGUGAAAACCUGGGGCUUAACCCCGGGCCUGCAUUCGAUACGGGCAGACUAGAGUUCGGUAGGGGAGACUGGAAUUCCUGGUGUAGCGGUGAAAUGCGCAGAUAUCAGGAGGAACACCGGUGGCGAAGGCGGGUCUCUGGGCCGAUACUGACGCUGAGGAGCGAAAGCGUGGGGAGCAAAC